rnacentral:lncRNA from 1 species
UGGCAUACUUCUACUUCACAAAUAUGCAGCCUUGGCUCAGAAGACUCAGACAGCUGGAGGUGAUCAAAUGAUGAUCAGUUGCUUCCAUUUGAAUCACUGUCAAGAAAGAAUGAAGCAGCCAAUUCUUUUGGAGGAAGUUGAUAGUCUCUUUUUGGGUGUGUGACAGACAGCACAAUGAUACCUGUGUGGAAGAGGAUGAGGAUGAGGUGGGAGCUACAAGUGCUCAGAGCCUUGGACAUUGCUUCUGCUGAGUUCAGCCUCAGCACAGAGUGAAGGAUUACAGCAUAGGAAGAAAAUACCAGAGCCAUAUCACUCCCAACCAAGACCCAUGCUAGCAUCAGUUGGUAAAAUUUGUUCACAGUGAUGUCAUCACAAGCCAGGCUGAUAACCCCCAAGUUAGAGCAGAGGCAGUGCUCGAUUUCAUUCCUGGAACAGUAGUGUCUCUGGGCAGCCAGUAUAGGCACUGGGAUGGUCAACAGGCCAUUCCUGAGCAUGAUGAACCCUGUGGCUUUGAAGACAAAAGCUUUAGUGACUAUGGAGGGGUACUGAAGAGGGCGACAGAUGGCUAUGUAUCUGUCUACUGCCAUGCAGA